rnacentral:rRNA from 1 species
CCUACGGGUGGCAGCAGUUGGGAAUCUUGCACAAUGGGGGAAACCCUGAUGCAGCGACGCCGCGUGGAGGAUGAAGGAUCUAGGUCUGUAAACUCCUUUUUCAGGGAAAGACUUAGGACGGUACCCUGAGAAUAAGCACCGGCUAACUACGUGCCAGCAGCCGCGGUAAGACGUAGGGUGCAAGCGUUGUCCGGAUUUACUGGGCGUAAAGAGCGCGUAGGCGGCUCGUUAAGUGUGAAGUGAAAUCUCUAGGGCUCAACCCAGAAACUGCUUUACAUACUGGCGAGCUGGAGUGAUGAAGAGGUUUGUGGAAUUCCUGGUGUAACGGUGAAAUGUGUUGAUAUCAGGAGGAACACCCAUGGCGAAGGCAGCAAACUGGUCAUCAACUGACGCUGAGGCGCGAAAGCGUGGGUAGCAAACAGGAUUAGAUACCCCGGUAG